UACGGGGGGAGCAAGCGUUGUUCGGAAUUACUGGGCGUAAAGGGCGCGUAGGCGGCCGCCUAAGUCAGACGUGAAAUCCCUCGGCUCAACCGGGGAACUGCGUCUGAUACUGGGUGGCUUGAAUCCGGGAGAGGGAUGCGGAAUUCCAGGUGUAGCAGUGAAAUGCGUAGAUAUCUGGAGGAACACCGGUGGCGAAGGCGGCAUCCUGGACCAACACUGACGCUGAGGAGCGAAAGCCAGGGGAGCAAACGGG
rnacentral:rRNA from 1 species